GCCAGGUUUGGUGGCACAUGCCUGUAAUCCAAAUGACUCAGGAGGCUGAGGCAGGAGGAUCACAAAUUGGAAGUCAGCCUCGGCAACUUAACAAGACUUCAGCAACUUAGUGAGAUCCUGUCUCAA
rnacentral:sRNA from 1 species